rnacentral:ncRNA from 1 species
AGAAAUGCAGUGACAAGGAGGAGUACAUAAUCUUCAGAUGCACAGAGAGAAGAUGGCAGGUGUAAAUCUUCGUGACGGGAUUAUGGAAGUAGCCUUCGAGCAGUGGACUGAACGUACCGGACGAGUACCAGUAGGCUCCAACGUAUUCCCACGUUAUAGGGAAACGGUAUCGGAAGACAGACACAGCGCAGCGAAAGCGGUGAGAAAGAGGAAUUCCCGUACCGGUUAAGAGCAGAGAUUUGUCUCUGAAUUCAGGUGGUAACACGGAUGAAAGAUUCGCCCUGGGC